GGAGAAAGAGGAGUGGGGUGGCCGCAGUGGCGGCAGCAGCAGCAGCAGCAACCGCGGUGGCGGUGACUGCGGGUACUACUCGCAGGCCUCGGGUGCUGCUGCUGCUGGCGGUGGAAGCUUGUGGUGUAUCGGUGACUCCUUGGGAGAAGUAGCAGCUGCCGCAGCCACACGGCGGGGUGGGGGGAGGGGGGGAGAGGGAAGAAGCCGCCGGAGCCUCGGGAGCCGCCAGACGUUCGCACGCAUUUGAAGAUUUGAUGACAUGCUACAAAGAGCACUUUGAACCUACAUUUUUCUGAAGAAUUCAUUUAAAAGGUCUCAGAAGUACAAGAGGUAGAUGUACAAAUGUCUACCACAAGACGAAAGCGCAGCAUGUUAUGUACUUUACCAUAAGCUGUCAUAAAAUGAGCUCAAUUGCAGACAGGGAUGACGGUAGUAUUUUCGAUGGACUGGUGGAAGAAGAUGACAAGGAUAAAGCAAAAAGAGUAUCUAGAAAACAAAUUCUGAGAAGAAAACGCAGAGAUCAGUUUAAUGUUCUCAUCAAGAAUUGGGAUCUAUGCUUCCUGGUAAUGCUCGGAAGAUGGACAAAUCCACUGUACUACAAAAAAGCAUUGAUUUUUUACGGAAGC